GGUUAAGCGACUAAGCGUACACGGUGGAUGCCCUGGCAGUCAGAGGCGAUGAAGGACGUGCUAAUCUGCGAAAAGCGUCGGUAAGGUGAUAUGAACCGUUAUAACCGGCGAUGUCCGAAUGGGGAAACCCAGUGUGAUUCGUCACACUAUCGUUAACUGAAUACAUAGGUUAACGAGGCGAACCGGGGGAACUGAAACAUCUAAGUACCCCGAGGAAAAGAAAUCAACCGAGAUUCCCCCAGUAGCGGCGAGCGAACGGGGAGCAGCCCAGAGUCUGAAUCAGCUUGUGUGUUAGUGGAACGGUCUGGAAAGUCCGACGGUACAGGGUGAUAGUCCCGUACACCAAAAUGCACAGGCUGUGAACUCGAAGAGUAGGGCGGGACACGUGGUAUCCUGUCUGAAUAUGGGGGGACCAUCCUCCAAGGCUAAAUACUCCUGACUGACCGAUAGUGAACCAGUACCGUGAGGGAAAGGCGAAAAGAACCCCGGCGAGGGGAGUGAAAAAGAACCUGAAACCGUGUACGUACAAGCAGUGGGAGCACCUUCGGGUGUGACUGCGUACCUUUUGUAUAAUGGGUCAGCGACUUAUAUUCUGUAGCAAGGUUAACCGUAUAGGGGAGCCGCAGGGAAACCGAGUCUUAACUGGGCGUUAAGUUGCAGGGUAUAGACCCGAAACCCGGUGAUCUAGCCAUGGGCAGGUUGAAGGUUGGGUAACACUAACUGGAGGACCGAACCGACUAAUGUUGAAAAAUUAGCGGAUGACUUGUGGCUGGGGGUGAAAGGCCAAUCAAACCGGGAGAUAGCUGGUUCUCCCCGAAAGCUAUUUAGGUAGCGCCUCGUGAAUUCAUCUUCGGGGGUAGAGCACUGUUUCGGCUAGGGGGUCAUCCCGACUUACCAACCCGAUGCAAACUACGAAUACCGAAGAAUGUUAUCACGGGAGACACACGGCGGGUGCUAACGUCCGUCGUGAAGAGGGAAACAACCCAGACCGCCAGCUAAGGUCCCAAAGUCAUGGUUAAGUGGGAAACGAUGUGGGAAGGCACAGACAGCCAGGAUGUUGGCUUAGAAGCAGCCAUCAUUUAAAGAAAGCGUAAUAGCUCACUGGUCGAGUCGGCCUGCGCGGAAGAUGUAACGGGGCUAAACCAUGCACCGAAGCUGCGGCAGCGACACUAUGUGUUGUUGGGUAGGGGAGCGUUCUGUAAGCCUGCGAAGGUGACCUGUGAGGGUUGCUGGAGGUAUCAGAAGUGCGAAUGCUGACAUAAGUAACGAUAAAGCGGGUGAAAAGCCCGCUCGCCGGAAGACCAAGGGUUCCUGUCCAACGUUAAUCGGGGCAGGGUGAGUCGACCCCUAAGGCGAGGCCGAAAGGCGUAGUCGAUGGGAAACAGGUUAAUAUUCCUGUACUUGGUGUUACUGCGAAGGGGGGACGGAGAAGGCUAUGUUAGCCGGGCGACGGUUGUCCCGGUUUAAGCAUGUAGGCUGGUUAUCCAGGCAAAUCCGGAUAAUCAAGGCUGAGGUGUGAUGACGAGGCACUACGGUGCUGAAGUAACAAAUGCCCUGCUUCCAGGAAAAGCCUCUAAGCAUCAGGUAACAUUAAAUCGUACCCCAAACCGACACAGGUGGUCAGGUAGAGAAUACCAAGGCGCUUGAGAGAACUCGGGUGAAGGAACUAGGCAAAAUGGUGCCGUAACUUCGGGAGAAGGCACGCUGGUGUGUAGGUGAAGUCCCUGCGGAUGGAGCUGAGACCAGUCGAAGAUACCAGCUGGCUGCAACUGUUUAUUAAAAACACAGCACUGUGCAAACACGAAAGUGGACGUAUACGGUGUGACGCCUGCCCGGUGCCGGAAGGUUAAUUGAUGGGGUUAUCCGUAAGGAGAAGCUCUUGAUCGAAGCCCCGGUAAACGGCGGCCGUAACUAUAACGGUCCUAAGGUAGCGAAAUUCCUUGUCGGGUAAGUUCCGACCUGCACGAAUGGCGUAAUGAUGGCCAGGCUGUCUCCACCCGAGACUCAGUGAAAUUGAACUCGCUGUGAAGAUGCAGUGUACCCGCGGCAAGACGGAAAGACCCCGUGAACCUUUACUAUAGCUUGACACUGAACAUUGAGCCUUGAUGUGUAGGAUAGGUGGGAGGCUUUGAAGCGUGGACGCCAGUCUGCGUGGAGCCAACCUUGAAAUACCACCCUUUAAUGUUUGAUGUUCUAACGUUGGCCCCUGACCGGGGUUGCGGACAGUGUCUGGUGGGUAGUUUGACUGGGGCGGUCUCCUCCCAAAGCGUAACGGAGGAGCACGAAGGUUAGCUAAUCCUGGUCGGACAUCAGGAGGUUAGUGCAAUGGCAUAAGCUAGCUUGACUGCGAGCGUGACGGCGCGAGCAGGUGCGAAAGCAGGUCAUAGUGAUCCGGUGGUUCUGAAUGGAAGGGCCAUCGCUCAACGGAUAAAAGGUACUCCGGGGAUAACAGGCUGAUACCGCCCAAGAGUUCAUAUCGACGGCGGUGUUUGGCACCUCGAUGUCGGCUCAUCACAUCCUGGGGCUGAAGUAGGUCCCAAGGGUAUGGCUGUUCGCCAUUUAAAGUGGUACGCGAGCUGGGUUUAGAACGUCGUGAGACAGUUCGGUCCCUAUCUGCCGUGGGCGCUGGAGAAUUGAGGGGGGCUGCUCCUAGUACGAGAGGACCGGAGUGGACGCAUCACUGGUGUUCGGGUUGUCAUGCCAAUGGCACUGCCCGGUAGCUAAAUGCGGAAGAGAUAAGUGCUGAAAGCAUCUAAGCACGAAACUUGCCCCGAGAUGAGUUCUCCCUGAGACUUUAAGUCUCCUGAAGGAACGUUGAAGACGACGACGUUGAUAGGCCGGGUGUGUAAGCGCAGCGAUGCGUUGAGCUAACCGGUACUAAUGAACCGUGAGGCUUAACCUU
rnacentral:rRNA from 1 species